GCACAAGCAGCGGAGCGUGUGGUUUAAUUCGAUGUUACACGAAGAGCCUUACCAGGGUUUGACAUGCAAGUGGUAGGAAGCCGAAAGGUGACCGACCCUUCGGGGAGCUUGCACAGGUGCUGCAUGGCUGUCGUCAGCUCGUGUCGUGAGAUGUUCGGUUAAGUCCGCUAACGAGCGCAACCCUCGCUGUGUGUUAUAUGUGUCACACGGGACUGCCGGUCUUAAGCCGGAGGAAGGUGGGGAUGAUGUCAAGUCAGCAUGGCCUUUAUAUCCUGGGCUACACACACGCUACAAUGGCCAACACAAUAGGUUGCUAAGCCGCGAGGUGGCGCCAAUCCAUAAAGUUGGUCUCAGUUCAGAUUGUAGGCUGCAACCCGCCUGCAUGAAGAUGGAGUUGCUAGUAACCGCAGGUCAGCUAUACUGCGGUGAAUACGUUCCCGGGGCUU
rnacentral:rRNA from 1 species